rnacentral:snRNA from 1 species
AUGCCAAGCCAGCACAUGGACCG